AGAUAAAUAAAAACAAGAUAUUUAUUUUAUUUAGUGUAAAUAAAAAUAAAUACCAAAUAAAUAAAUAAAUAAAUAAACGGACGUUUUUUCUUUAGAAAUAUUUAAAUAUACAUUUAUGUGAAUAUUUUGAAAAUAAAUAAAAAGGAAAAACAAAUACUACAGUAAAUACAUAAACCCAUUCUCGUCUAUAUCGCCCUUUGAGUAGCAAAUGCAUACAUUAAUGCCAUUCAGCUUGAAUAACAAUUUUUUUCCAAAACAUAUAUUGUUUAUAGGCUAUAAAUAAUAGUAUAAUAUCGUUGUUGUUUUUAUAUUUAAAACAUUUUACGUAAUUUAUUUAGCAGUUUUGAACAUAAUUCUUAUUAUGUCACUGUUUUGCUGUAUUUGUCGAUGGAAAAUGGAACAGUUUGAGGAAAACUUCUGGAGAAAGGCUGGAAUCUGAAAGGUUCUUCCGGUCGUCGUCUUGGAUACCAGUCGUGCGCUUCCGGUCGCGAUGCGAUGCUAAGCGCGCUAACGCUAGCGGGCUGCUCGCAGUUUCCAGCUCAACUCGAAACAAACAAACAAACAGAGAUGAUGUCCGUCAGUCGACGCUGUUUGGACAGAAUCCUCUCGAUCGUUCUUCUGCUGGUGGUUCUGCUCUCGUGGGGUUUUGUCAUCUACGGCACACGAAUCGCAGCACAAUGGGAGCUCGAGAAACAGAAAAGAUAAAGACGUUAAUCAGCAGACAUCCGCUGAGACGCUUCGACCUGGAUUCACCUCAGACCAGAAACCUUCCCAAUACCAGACUCAAUCCAUGCCACAAAUCUGUGCAGCAUUUCUUAUUUGGAAUGUGAUUUAAGUCUUUCUGUUUCAUUCAAUCAUGUAAAUAUUUCCAUUUUGUAAUGCAUAUUUUUUAUUAAUAUAUAUUUUUUAUUAAGUAAAUAAUGUUUCUUUAGCUCUGUAUAGUGCACUAGAAGCAGCGUAAGCACACUGUAUAGGGCUUGUGUGAGAGCAGAGAUCCUGUAAUAUCCCUCAGUAUUCACUGACACUGAGGGAAUGAGUGCAAGACAGAAGAGAUGCAAAGAAAUUCACUGCUGAAGAAGUCUGAGAACUACGGAAAUGGAACUGGAUGGAUUAAUGUUGGCAGUUCAAUAUAAAUAUAAAGGUUUUUCAUUGGUUCCAGUGUUAUUAUAGUAUCACACACACACAUAUAUAGUUGCUACAUGAUUGUUUUAGAGAUGAAGUUGUGUUUGAUUAAAGUUUGAGUGGAUGUUUUUCUCUCAGAGCCGUGUUUCAUGUGUCUGUGUCUGCUGUUCUCUCUGAUUAUUCCUCUCAGCACAGAAAAGCUCUCGUCUCUUUCACAUUUACAAUCUGUGUGUGUGUGUGUGUGAAUAUACAAUGUUUAAGUGUGUAUUUGUUGUAUCAUUAACAUGAAUGAAUGUCUGAAAUAUUAAGUACAUGUAUUUUUGUGUGUUGCACUACUGUUGAAAAGGCUCAUUACGAUUUUUAGUUUUGAAAGUCUCUUCUGCUCACCAAGGCUGCAUUUAUUUAAUCAAAAAAUAUGUAAAAAUAGUUAAAUAUUAUUAGAAUUUAAAACAUCUGUUUUCUGUGUGAAUCUCUGUUAAAGUGUAAUUUAUUUCUGUGAUGUGCAGCUGUAUUUUCAGCAUCAUUACUCCAGUCUUCAGUGUCACAUGAUCUUCAGAAAUCAUUCUAAUAUGAUGAUUCACUGCUCGAGAAACAUUUCUGAUUAUUAUCAAUGUUGAACACAGUUGUGCUGCACAAUAUUUUUGUGGAAACCGUGAUACAUUUUAUUAUUACAUGCAUUAGAUUUUAUUUUUUAUUCAUAAAUCUAUAUAUUUCAGUAUUUACCAUCACUGGCUCUGUUGCUGUUAUUCUAAUGCUACAAACACUGAGGAAAUACAGAAGUACAGCUAAAGAGACACUUACAAUUCAAGUGAGUAUAUUUCACCAUCCUAAAUAAACAGCAGGUAAACACACA
ensembl:lncRNA